CAAAUGCUGUCUCAAUUGGAAAUGAAUGAUCUCUUGACAACGUAAUACUUGUCGCUCAAAGCCCUCUGACUCUCAGGAGAAACGUUUUGUAUCUGGACACUGUGCGCUGAUUAGCAGUUUUAAGAGGACUGAGUUAGACCAGGCGAUGAGAAGGAUCUCUGAUUUAAGCGAAUUCCCCUUCCCCAGUCCUUCUCACACACAACUCCUCUUCCCCAUUUCCGAUGAGCUUCAGCCACAAGUGUGCUCCAUGGAGG
rnacentral:lncRNA from 1 species